rnacentral:rRNA from 1 species
CCUACGGGUGGCAGCAGUGAGGAAUAUUGGUCAAUGGACGCAAGUCUGAACCAGCCAUGCCGCGUGCAGGAAGACGGCCCUAUGAGUUGUAAACUGCUUUUGUAGGAGGGUAAACGCAGAUACGCGUAUCUGUCUGAAAGUACCGUACGAAUAAGGAUCGGCUAACACUGUGCCAGCAGCCGCGGUAAUACGGAGGAUUCAAGCGUUAUCCGGAUUUAUUGGGUUUAAAGGGUGCGUAGGCGGGCGGAUAAGUUAGAUGUGAAAGCCCGAGGCUCAACUUGGGAAUUGCCUUUGAUACUGUUCGGCUAGAGAGUAGUUGCGGUAGGCGGAAUGUAUGGUGUAGCGGUGAAAUGCUUAGAGAUCAUACAGAACACCGAUUGCGAAGGCAGCUUACCAAGCUACUACUGACGUUGAGGCACGAAAGCGUGGGGAGCAAACAGGAUUAGAUACCCUAGUAGUC